AAAAAGACCUUAAUACACACUUUUAAAUCAUAACAUCUCAAAAAAGAAGUACACAUAAUAAGUUUCCUUUGUAUAGCGUCCUAAGCUAUGCGCUGUCUAACUUAACUAAUGCAACUAUAUCCAUAUUGAACGCAUAACAUUUAGUGUGUAUGUGAUGAUCAUUUCAUCAAAUGCUCCUAAAUACUUCGAAAUUAGUCUCAAUUGAUAGCUAGUUGAAGGAAAAAUUUGAAAAUAAUAAUAAUAUUUUAUUAAUUUUUACUUUAAAAAAUUAUUUUUAUUUUCUAAAAAUUGACAAGGACUUAACAAAUUAGUAGAUCAACCCUCAUACAUGCUUGAUUUCUUGUUUGGAGUGCAGCAUUGCAAGCAAUUGGGAGAAAUUGGGGAAAUUUUGAAUUUUCCCCAAAUCAGACCACCUACACUCAAAUGUUGAAAUUAGAGUGUACGUGAUGAUCAUUUCAUCAAAUACUUAUAAAUACUUCAGAAUUAGUCUUAAUUGAUAGCUAGUUGAAGGAAAGUUUCGAACAAAACAUAGAGAACAUGAAGAACCAAUGGAUAUCAAAAUCAAAACUCCAACUCCAUGAUUUUUCAUGCAAAACAUGAAAAACCAAUGGAUUUAUAACCAUUUGACACCAAUUUAACAUAAUUUCAAAAAAAAAAGGAUUGGAAAUUGAAAAUGCUCAGCGGAUCGAACAUGUAGGAUAUAUCGACACUAUUUGUGUGUUUCGUAUUGCACAUGUGGGAUACAAGAUAUAUCGUGGGAUAUAUCGGCCGAUAUUGUUGAUAUUUAAAACAUUAGUCUGGAAAGCUAACCCUUCCAUUAGGCCAAGAUUACUUGAUCGAUUUUCCAUUUCUCUGAGCAAUGGUGUGAAUAUUCAAUUUUGGACAGUUAUAUGGGCCUUUGAUAGGCCUCUUAAUGCAGGGACAUUUUCCCACCGAGCUCGAGUGGGGUAGCCUAUGGGAUGUAGGGACACACUUGAGGUGGGUGGCCCGUGUGAAGCGGAAACCAUGUGAAGUGGGGCCCACGAGGGGGGUUCGACUUAGGUCCUAACCCAUGCGAUGUAGGGCCUGGGCUAUGAGAUAAAGGGAUUGAUUCGCCAUGCUCUAUCAGUUUGAGCUUUUAGAGCAAGUGGCUAGUUAUCCUGCAUCAAAGUGGUAUCAAAGCGGGAGGUCUCGUGUUUGAGACUCCUCACUAGGAGUGAUUAAUGCAUGGACAUUUUCACACCGAGCUUGAGUGGGGUAGCUUGUGAGAUGUGGGGACACACUCGGGGUGGGUGGCCCAUGUGAAGCGGAACCCAUGUGAAGUGGGGCCCACAAGGGAGGUUUGGCCGAGGUCCUAACCCAUGCGAUACGGGACUUGGGCUAUGAGAUAAAGGGAUUGAUUCACCAUGCUCUAUCAGUUCGAGCUUUAAAGCAAGUAGCUAGUUGUCCUACAUCACCUCUUCAAGCCCUUUUUUCCCAGAUUGGAAGUUUAGCUGUGAAUAUUUCAGCUUCCGUUGUCCUGUUUUUCUGAUGUUGGGUCUGGGGUCCAGUGUCCGCUUGCAGGUGGUCUUUGUUAGAGUUGGAGUUGGAGGAUUUUAUCAGGUUGCCAAAGCUACUGAAGAAUAUAUGCCCUUUCCUGAAUUUGGUUGAUUCUAUCUUCUGCUUUCAGUCUCCUUUUGGGAAGUGCACUAUCCACUCUACUCUCUAUUCAAGUUUUCCAGCUCCCCUCCUGCCUCGAGUUAGCCUACCUUUCCCUCCUUCAUUUGGAAGUAUGGUGCCUCCCUAAAAAUCGCUCCCCUUUCCUUGUUUCUGGCCAGAGCUAGGGAAGAAUCCUAACUAUUAACAAUUUGCACUGUUGGGGUCUGAUUUUGCCUAACAUAUGCUCUCUCUGUUAGAAGGCUGCGGAAUACAUCGGCCACCUCUUUAUUCACUGCUCUUAUGUUGGCGAGAUCUAGUCUGUUAUCUUUGAUAGAUUGCAUGUCUCCUGGGCGGUGAUGCCCUAUGAAACCUCAUGAUCUCCUCUUUUUGUGGCAUGGUAGUUGUGGAGGUGUGAUCUCUAAGGCUUCCAGGUGCUUGCUUAUCUUUGCGAAUUUUUUUUAUUUUUUUAAUAUAGUUGAGCUUGGUCUUUGUUUUAUUUUUCUUCUUUUUGUUUUUGUUCCCUUUUUCUAUCUUUUUUUUUUUUUGUGUCUUGUUUUGCUUUUCGCCUCUUGACACUUUUAAUAAAUUCUUGCAUUCUUCAAAAAAGAAGAAGAAGGAAAUCUAUUUACUAGGUUUUCUGGUCUAUUGUUUUGUUCUCCAAUAAUAACAAUAUAUAACAUUUUAGAAACUGUUUAUAACUCUUCCAAAAGAAAAGUUCAUAAAGUUAGCAGAUGGCAUUUAAAGCGCUUUAUAAAUGUGUCUUAGUCAAUUCCUUUAUUUAUGUCAAUUCUUCGCUCCUAGUAGAGCUCAACGCCAGCAAGCUUUUGUUUAUUCGUUUGUCUUUUGACUGUACUAUGAGGCAUGGGGAUGGAGAAUUAGCUGGAAGUUGUUUCCUUGUUUGUGCAGGCUUUUGUCAUUAAUGAAAUUAUGAGUGUAAAAACAUGCUAUUGUUCCUUUUAUCAUGUUAAGCAGUCAAGGUGACAUCUCCUUGGCUUAUUUAGUAGAUCUUGCAUCAGAUGGCGGGAAAAGAAAUCUAUUCUGACCGGACUUAUGGAUAGGAGAUUAUCCGCUUGCAAUUGCCCUUCCAUCUUUAGCCCGGGUAGCUGCACAUUCGGAAGUAAUGAUUGAUAAAUAUGCAUCCUUAGUGGGCAGAUCAGUGGUGUGGGCGCCACCAUAUAGAAGAAACUUAAUGGACGUGGAAGCAAAGAAGUUUGCACAACUAUUGGAAUGACUCCAAUGUCUUAGGCGGCAGCCAAGUGAGAAGGAUUCAAUGGUAUGGUCACCAGAAAGACUAGGACGGUUUACGGUUCACUCCUUCUACAAGUUACUGUGCAUUUCACCUCUGAGGGAAGAUAGAGGCAGGUUAUCUUUCUUAUGGUGCAGAGCUCCCCCUAAAGUGGUGGCGUUCAAGUGGUUGGUAGGCAGGAAUAAGAUUCUUACCAUUGAGAACCUUCGGAAAAGGGCAAAGAUUAUUCCUAAUUGUUGCAUUUUAUGUGUAUGAGAGGGGCAGAAAUGGUGGACUACCUUUUUAUUCAUUGCCCAUUCGCACAGGUGUGGGACAGAUUUAUUGCCUUCUUCCCUUCAGAAUGGGUGAUGCCAAUAUUGGUUGUUGACCUUUUUUCUAGCAUUGCCUGGAGGCGUUAUGAGGAAAAAGGAGAUAAAAUGGCGAAGCCUAGUAAUGAUGGCAGUUAUAUGGGCUAUAUGGAGAGAGAGGAACAAUCGAUGCUUCUGAAACAAAAGUGAAUCGGAGGCAAAUGUGUAUAGAAAGGCCAAAAUGGAUGUAAUAGGGUCGAUUUCUGUAUCAAAGGACUUUGAUCCGAAUGUUGGAUCACUUCUAGCAGGAUUGUAAUUUUAUUGUAUUCAGAGCUUUUUGCUCUUGUUUAAUAAAUAAAUCAUCAUCUUUCAAAAAAAAAAAAAACUAUUUACCAAGGUACAGCUCAUCAUGAUGAUUAACCUCCAAUGCACGAUCAUUGCAAUUACCAAGGUAACAUAUGAUAUGAUGCGGACCUGGUUAUAGGUGAUUUCACAUGAUGGAUCUGUUUGGGAUGAUAGCUAGCAUUCGUGAGGUGGAUUUUCAACUCAGAUCAAUAUCAAUGGUACUGCUGAGUGCAUACUAAGAAGGCAAAAAAAGGUAUCAAGAGAAUGAGCAGUAGUGAUCGAUUCUGAUCAUGGAAAAUUUAUGAAAAGAGUGGUAACUGUGGUGAGUAAAUGCUCCAAUGUGGAUGUGCAUAUUUAUUUUGCUGGCAAGAUUUUCCAUUUGGUAUUUCGACCUUUUGUUCAGUACAAGUUCUUUAGGUAUGACAUUUGGGAAAUGUGUGCAUAUCAAGUUCCUGUCAUAGAUGUAUCUGUCAUACUUUAGUUUGCUGCUGACAGUUGGCCUGUGAUUUCACUUAAUGUGUGAUUGACCUUCAUCUUUCAAAUCAAAGUAGCAUCUCACAAACAAAAGUUGAAAGAAUGUUCUUAACAUUAGAAUUUUUUAUGCUUUGAAGUUGAAAGGAUGCCCAGCUUUUAUGAUAUACCUAACAUACUGACUCGCAUUUUUUCGUUUUUAGUACGAAGUGUAAACCAUUGGUUACAAAUCUAGCGAGUAUUUAUCUAGUUGCCAGCGUGAAGAAUGUGGUCUUGGACACAUGGUGUAUUGUUAAGUUCCUGGCUGCAAGCUAGAGGUGCAUUCUGAUUGCCCUCAAGGAUCUUUUACAAAAUUGAACAAAAUAGGUUCUGCUGAGGUCUAUAUUACCCAAACACUUAAAGUGGGCAUUGAACCUUUGGCUAACAUUUCAUUUUAAGUGUAUGUGCCAUACACAUGAUGUUUCUAGCAUGUACUCUUUGCUGUGAGCAAGCAAUGUGGAUUAAAAAAAAUAAAAAAUACUAAACCUUGAUUAUUUCUUGAGCAAGGACAAUACGGUGCAUGGAUAGAAAGGAUGAUGGUGUUGAAGAGUUAAUGGAGCAAGUUUAAUCCAAUGAAUCAGGCUAUUAGAAAAAAAAAAAAAAACUAUGAAUCAGAACUUUUUCCCUUCUGUUUGUUGUUUCUUAACCAUGAGUUGUAGAGGUGGUUUGUGAAUGUUCUAUCUAAACUCUCGUUGUUUUUCUUUCUGUGCUGUGAGUUCGACUUUGCUUUUGUUAGUCAGGUGCCAUUUCUCGUUGAGAAGAAGAUUAUGCAGAGUUUGUAGUAGCAAUUCCUAUGCUUUACCACUUCAGAGAAAGAGGUAAAAGUUCAGUAUUAGGAGUAAUGGUUUGUAAGUUAUAACGAUUCAUAGAAACGAGUUCAGAGUUAAAACAAGGAGUUAUUGGUGAGCAUGUCAAAUAAGGGGUUCCUCUCUUUGGU